rnacentral:rRNA from 1 species
AUUGAACGCUGGCGGCAGGCCUAACACAUGCAAGUCGAACGGUAACAGGAAACAGCUUGCUGUUUCGCUGACGAGUGGCGGACGGGUGAGUAAUGUCUGGGAAACUGCCUGAUGGAGGGGGAUAACUACUGGAAACGGUAGCUAAUACCGCAUAACGUCGCAAGACCAAAGAGGGGGACCUUCGGGCCUCUUGCCAUCAGAUGUGCCCAGAUGGGAUUAGCUAGUAGGUGGGGUAACGGCUCACCUAGGCGACGAUCCCUAGCUGGUCUGAGAGGAUGACCGCCAACACGGGAACGGAGCCACGGCCAAGCCUCCUGCGGGAGGAGCAAGUGGGGAAUAUUGAACAAGGGGGGCAGGCUGGAUGCAGCCAGGCGGGGUGUAGAAGAAAGGCGUGGGGUUUGAAAAGUCCUUGCGGGGGGGAGAAGGGGAGUAAAGUUAAUACCUUGGCUCAUGGACGUACCCCGAAAAAAAAGCCCCGGCUAACCCCGGC